UAAAAAGCUCGUAGUUGGAUUUCUGUCUUUGUUGUGCGGUCCACCGCGAGGUGAGCACUGUGUGAUGGGGACUUCCUCUCGGUGUUUGGUCGUGUUCUUAACUGAGCGCGGCUUUAACUCGGGACCUUUACUUUGAAAAAAUUAGAGUGUUCAAAGCAGGCCUACGCUUGGAUACAUUAGCAUGGAAUAAUUGAAUAGGACUUUGGUUCUAUUUUGCUGGUUUCUAGGACCGAAGUAAUGAUUAAUAGGGACAGUUGGGGGCAUUAGUAUUUAAUUGUCAGAGGUGAAAUUCUUGGAUUUAUGAAAGACUAACUACUGCGAAAGCAUUUGCCAAGGAUGUUUUCAUUAAUCAAGAACGAAAGUUAGGGGAUCGAAGACGAUCAGAUACCGUCGUAGUCUUAACCAUAAACUAUGCCGUCUCGGGAUCAGUGGGGUGAUUUUAGCCGCAUUGGCACCGUACGAGAAAUCAAAGUUUUUGGGUUCUGGGGGGAGUAUGGUCGCAAGGCUGAAACUUAAAGGAAUUGACGGAAGGGCACCACCAGGAGUGGAGCCUGCGGCUUAAUUUGACUCAACACGGGGAAACUCACCAGGUCCAGACAUAGUAAGGAU
rnacentral:rRNA from 1 species